CUCAAGAAAAGAAUUUAGUUCAGCAUAAAAUAAGACCAACAUGCAGCAAUUACCCCCGUUAUUUUAAAGCAAUUCAAAUGAGGUACAGCCCAUUUGAUCAAGGACUCAACCUUUACUAACGGGUAAUACUCACCGCAUCCCUCCCCCAAGUUGGCCUAAUAGCAGCCAUCUUUUAAAAAGCGUCAAAGCUUAAUCUGCCCGCACCAUAAUUCAUAAACCCCCAUUGACCCCUUUCACAGUACUGAGGACCCCUAUAAACCUAUAGAGCCUUUAAUGCUAAAACUAGUAACAAGAGAUUCACCUCUCUUUAGUGUAAACCCAACCCAGCAAGAACCAAUCACUGGGGCCUAACAGAACUAAACAAAUGUAGCAACUUCACUAGAAAACCUUCUCUACCCCCUGUUAACCUAACACCAGAACACUUCAAGAAAGAUUAAAAUAAAAAGAAGGAAUUCGGCAAAUAUUUAACCCCGCCUGUUUACCAAAAACAUCGCCCCCUGAUCUAUAGGGGGUCCAGCCUGCCCAGUGACCCUGUUCAACGGCCGCGGUAUCCUAACCGUGCAAAGGUAGCGUAAUCACUUGUCCCCUAAAUAGAGACUAGUAUGAAAGGCAUCACGAGGGUUAGACUGUCUCCUCUCUCCAAUCAGUGAACCUAAUCUCCCCGUGAAGAAGCGGGGAUUUCCCCAUAAGACGAGAAGACCCUAUGGAGCUUAAAACGCCAUGACAAAUGCUAACACCUCCCCCAUUCAGAUUUUUACCAUUAGCACACUGAUCAUGAGUUUUUGGUUGGGGUGACCGCGGAGAAAAACCAACCCUCCAUAAUGAAAGGCCCCUCCCCCGACAAUAAGUUACAACUUUAUGUCUCAACAAAUUGACAUCCAUUGACCCAAUACUUGAUCAACGAACCAAGUUACCCUAGGGAUAACAGCGCAAUCCACUUCGAGAGCCCCUAUCGACAAGUGGGCUUACGACCUCGAUGUUGGAUCGGGAUAUCCUAGUGGUGCAGUCGCUACUAAGGGUUCGUUUGUUCAACGAUUAAAACCCCACGUGAUCUGAGUUCAGACCGGAGCAAUCCAGGUCAGUUUCUAUCUAUGCUAGAGCUUUUUUCAGUACGAAAGGACCAAAACAGCACGGCCAAUACCCCACCCAAGCCGUUGUUAAUUCAUUUUGACCCCCACUCAAAAAUUAUUAACCUCUUCACCCCACUC
rnacentral:rRNA from 1 species